rnacentral:rRNA from 1 species
GAUGAACGCUGGCGGCGUGCCUAAUACAUGCAAGUCGAGCGAACGGACGAGAAGCUUGCUUCUCUGAUGUUAGCGGCGGACGGGUGAGUAACACGUGGAUAACCUACCUAUAAGACUGGGAUAACUUCGGGAAACCGGAGCUAAUACCGGAUAAUAUUUUGAACCGCAUGGUUCAAAAGUGAAAGACGGUCUUGCUGUCACUUAUAGAUGGAUCCGCGCUGCAUUAGCUAGUUGGUAAGGUAACGGCUUACCAAGGCAACGAUGCAUAGCCGACCUGAGAGGGUGAUAGGCCACACGAGAACGUGGACACGGUCCAGACGCCUACGGGAGGCAGCAGUAGGGAAUCUGCCGCAAUGGGCGAGAGCCUGACAGAGCGACGCGGCGUGAGUUAUGAAGGUCUUCGGAGCGUAAAACUCGGUUAUGAGGUAAGAACAGAUGUGUAAGUAACUGAGCAGAGCGUGACGGUACCGAAUCAAAAAGCCACGGCUAACUACGUG